AAAAGCCAUACAUGACAAGCGAGGGUGGGGCGCUCUAUGUUGAACCAACACUUUCUCACCAUACACAUGUCUACUGGAAGACCAGUCAUUGUUAUAAGUGGGAGGAGUCGGAGUGACCAGCCAGUAACCAGUACAUGGAUACAGCCAACUGUGCUUUCUCAGAUCCUUCACCAUCAAGAGCAGAAAGACACCAGCAGUGAAAUCAACACAAACUACUACACCAACAAUCACCAAUAUGGCAACAUAGAAGCUGAAGGGAAUGACGGCCCCAUUCGAGUGUGAUGGUGGAGAUGAUUCAGUCUAUGGUAACGUGUGAACACAACAGGAAGCAUGUGGAAGUCAGCUGGCCCAGAGCCCAUGGUACUCAGUCUGUCAAAGGUUUCAGUAAAAUAUUAUGUAGCAGAACUGGUGACUGCUUAUAUUUGUUAGCUUGAUGUAGCUUUAUGGUUCUAAUGACAAAAGAAUAUGGUACAUUCUUAUUUGGGCUGUGGCUUUGUUAUAGCUUUUACAAGGCUUAUGUUUAUUAUCUGUGGCUUGGGUAAUUCAGAAAUGUUUUUUACUAAAUGUCAUUUAUACACAAUACAAACCAGUAUUUAGCUAUAUCUCCUUUCACACUUCCCAGAUGUCUGUUGAAAUUGUGUCUUGAGGGUAAUCUGAGGAUAGAAUACGAGUGUGGGACUUUCAGUUCCUCCAUUUGGGGUUGCUCUUUCAUUUAUUGAGAUGUUCAACGUCUGUUUAUUUCCAUAGGGUUUGAGUUAUUUCACAAUACUGAUUUUGUCAAUAUACUGCCGCAUUAGGUUUUUUGACCCUCUAUAAUAACAUACCAGUAACAGUUAUGCAAAUC
rnacentral:lncRNA from 1 species